rnacentral:rRNA from 1 species
CUGCAACUCCCGACUGGCGACCGGCGCACGGUGAGUAACGCGUAUCCAACCUUCCCCACUAGUAGGGGAGUAGCCCGUAGAAAUGCGGAUUAAUACCCUAUGUUCUCCGAAGAGGACAUCUGAUUUGGAGUAAAGAUUUAUCGCUAUGGGAUGGGGAGUGCGUCUGAUUAGGCUGCAGGCGGGUAACGGCCCACCCUGGCCUACCGAUCAGUAGGGGUUCGUGAGAGGAAGGUCCCCCACACUGGUACUGAGACACGGACCAGACUCCUACGGGAGGCAGCAGUGAGGAAUAUUGGUCAAUGGGCGUAAGCCUGAACCAGCCAAAGUAGCGUGAGGGAUGACGGCCCUACGGGUUGUAAACCUCUUUUGUUCGGGAAUAACGUGCGGCACGCGUGCCGCUUUGCAUGUACCGUUCGAAUAAGGACCGGCUAAUUCCGUGCCAGCCGCGGC